UUUAUGAACGAAACAGAUUUCAGCUGAUUAAAGAUACAUAUAGCAAAAGGAAGAUUUAUCCAAGAAUAAGAGCUUGUGAUACUUUUGAUGAGUUGAAAUGUAGACCCAGUCCAUUCCCUCCUUGAGUCCAGU
rnacentral:sRNA from 1 species